rnacentral:rRNA from 1 species
AUUGAACGCUGGCGGCAUGCCUUACACAUGCAAGUCGAACGGCAGCACGGGAGCAAUCCUGGUGGCGAGUGGCGAACGGGUGAGUAAUAUAUCGGAACGUGCCCAGUCGUGGGGGAUAACGUAGCGAAAGCUACGCUAAUACCGCAUACGAUCUAUGGAUGAAAGCGGGGGAUCGCAAGACCUCGCGCGAUUGGAGCGGCCGAUAUCAGAUUAGGUAGUUGGUGAGGUAAAGGCUCACCAAGCCGACGAUCUGUAGCUGGUCUGAGAGGACGACCAGCCACACUGGGACUGAGACACGGCCCAGACUCCUACGGGAGGCAGCAGUGGGGAAUUUUUGGACAAUGGGCGGCAAGCCUGAUCCAGCAAUGCCGCGUGCAGGAUGAAGGCC